rnacentral:rRNA from 1 species
AACAUCGACAUUUCGAACGCACAUUGCGGUCCUCGGAUACGAUUCCCGGACCACGCCUGGCUGAGGGUCGUUCAACAAAAAAAACCAGACUGCUUGUUGUGUUGAGCUCUUUCUCACUCUCUUUCGAGAGAGAGAGGGGGGCUCUCUCUCAAGCGAUAGCCUGAGCGUUCGUCGCUGAGGCGCGUUUCGCUCUUGCGAGUGAUAACGCGCUUCGUUUGCGGCGUCGCUCGAAAUAAUGGUGAUUUUCUUUCGAACGCAGCGACGACGACGCACGCGCACCUCGUGUGUGCGUGCGUAUGUGCAAGGCACGAAGCACUCGAACGCUCAAAGGCGCGAGAGCAACGUCCGUCGAGUCCCGGAGCUCUUGCGCGCCCCGCAAUUUAUUUUGUGGUGUCGCGCCGGGCGGACCGACGAGGCCUGUUACUCUCGUGUUGAUCAAGCUUUCCGAGUCUUGCACGUGUUCGUUUCGCAUAAAAGAGAUAUUUUAUACUCAUAACGACGACCUCAGAGCAGGCGAGAC